CGGAUUAGCUUGUUGGUGGGGUAAAAGCCUACCAAGGCGACGAUCCGUAGCUGGUCUGAGAGGACGAUCAGCCACACUGGGACUGAGACACGGCCCAGACUCCUACGGGAGGCAGCAGUAGGGAAUAUUGCACAAUGAGCGAAAGCUUGACGCAGCGACACCGCGUGUGGGAUGACGGAUCUAGGUUUGUAAACCACUUUCAGGAGGGAAGAGAAUGACGGUACCUCCACAAGAAGCCCCGGCCAACUACGUGCCAGCAGACGCGGUAAUACGUAGGGGGCGAGCGUUGUCCGGAUUUAUUGGGCGUAAAGAGCUCGUAGGCGGUUCAACAAGUCGGUCGUCAAAGUUCAGGACUCAACCCUGAAAUGUCGAUCGAUACUGUAGUGACUAGGAUACGGUAGAGGUGAGUGGAAUACCGAGUGUAGCGGUGAAAUGCGUAGAUAUUCGGAGGAACACCAAUAGAGAAAGCAGCUCACGGGGACGCAUACGACGCAGAGGAGCGAAAGCAAGGGAGCACAAGGACAAAUACCUGGUAAACUAGCUGAAACGAGGACAUAACGG
rnacentral:rRNA from 1 species